UCCAGUCGCUAGCUGAGAUCUGCUGGGCUUCUCUGGGUUUGGUAACUUUUCACAUCCACGGCCAGGCCUCAGAAUUAGUCACUCAACAACGAUUAGUCAUUGCUGUGAGUUAUAGCGUGUCCUCCCAAGCCGAUGUGAUGAAGCCAUAAUCCUCAGUACCUCAAAAUGUGACCUUGAAAAGAGGGUGAUUGCAUCUGCAACUGGUCAUGAAGAUGCCAUCAUGGGGCUUGAAGGGGAUUUCUGUUUACUGCCAAGAUUGCACAUUCCUCCCCACACAUGGAAAAAGUAUAGCAGCAAGGCAGUUAGCACCGGAAGGAUCGCCUGUUGGACUAGAGGCAAGACUAGUUGGUCAGUUCAAGUCUGAUUAAACCAGGAUGCUUCUCUGUUAGAGGUCCAUGAAUUGACUUUCUAAUUGGACUUAGGACUCACUCGACAAGAGGGAAGUUAUGCCCAUUACUGGAAACAUAGUCAAAUACCCAGGCCUAGUUGAAAUCAUGGACCUUGGAGGAAAAUCUGUAACCAUUAUUUUACUAAACCAGCCUAAUUCCUGACCGUAGUAUGAGUAUUUGUCUCUAUGCCUACAGAUAAGUGUGGUAUUCACCUCUCAUCAAGGAAACUUCUCUUUGAAACACAUGGAGACCAUUGCAGAAAAUCACAACUAAACAAACUACAGAGUUAUGAUAUAACUGAUAUAUCUGCAAAAAAAACACUUUGAACCUAAGUUCCAAGAAUCAUUGUGGGAGUGGGACAGAAAGACUUACACGGAGUUUGCUGUGGGAUUGUGUCUCCUAGAAAUGUUAGAAGGGGCAUCUGUAAAGUCUCACCAACAUAGCUCCCUAAACUUGACCUGAAAAAGGAUGGCAUCAACAGAUAUGUGAACAUGGAUAGAGGGAUGCUCAUGAGGCCUCAACCCUACCAAAGAACUACAGGUAACUAAAGGAUGCUGAGAGAGGGAGAAAUCUACCUAAAGGAUGCCGAGAGAAGGAGAAAUCAUCUUUCCUAGGGAAGAGCUCAAUAAAUGUUUAUACAUAACCAAAUUGCCAGGACUGAAAUGUAAUCGCAAGUAACACUAUCAGGACCUAGCAGGCUGUGUUUGGAAUAUUUAGGAAUAUAGUUACGUACAUGGAUGAGUCAUCAUGCCAUCUUUCAUUGUAUCUAUAGAACCUUUGCCUAUAAAUUUGCAUAUUAUGCAGUAUAUUAUUAUUAAACGAUAACAUUCCAGUUU